GAAGGUACAGCUCAGUGGUAAAGCACAUGCUUUAGCAUGCAUGAGAUCCUGAGUUCAAUCCCUAGCACCUCCU
rnacentral:tRNA from 1 species